rnacentral:rRNA from 1 species
AACGAACGCUGGCGGCAUGCCUAACACAUGCAAGUCGAACGAAGCCUUCGGGCUUAGUGGCGCACGGGUGCGUAACGCGUGGGAAUCUGCCCCUUGCUUCGGAAUAACAGUUAGAAAUGACUGCUAAUACCGGAUGAAGUCUUCGGACCAAAGAUUUAUCGGCAAGGGAUGAGCCCGCGUAGGAUUAGGUAGUUGGUGGGGUAAAGGCCUACCAAGCCGACGAUCCUUAGCUGGUCUGAGAGGAUGAUCAGCCACACUGGGACUGAGACACGGCCCAGACUCCUACGGGAGGCAGCAGUGGGGAAUAUUGGACAGUGGACGCAAGUCUGAUCCAGCAAUGCCGCGUGAGUGAUGAAGGCCUUAGGGUUGUAAAGCUCUUUUACCAGGGAUGAUAAUGACAGUACCGGGAGAAUAAGCUCCGGCUAACUCCGU